CCCUGUAUUCGAAAGUGAUCAUGGGCUGCCAUGCCCCAGUCAUUGAUACUACAUGGAGAGGAUGUUGAAGCUUUUCCAUGUGUUUGGAAGGUUACUUCUGGCCUUCCCAAACUCUGGUGCUUCUAACU